rnacentral:rRNA from 1 species
CAUUCACGGAGAGUUUGAUCCUGGCUCAGGACGAACGCUGGCGGCGUGCUUAACACAUGCAAGUCGAACGAUGAAGCCCUUCGGGGUGGAUUAGUGGCGAACGGGUGAGUAACACGUGGGCAAUCUGCCCUGCACUCUGGGACAAUCCCUGGAAACGGGGUCUAAUACCGGAUAACACU